rnacentral:rRNA from 1 species
GACGAACGCUGGCGGCGUGCCUAAUACAUGCAAGUAGAACGCUGAAGGAGGAGCUUGCUUCUCUGGAUGAGUUGCGAACGGGUGAGUAACGCGUAGGUAACCUGCCUGGUAGCGGGGGAUAACUAUUGGAAACGAUAGCUAAUACCGCAUAAUAGUAGAUGUUGCAUGACAUUUGCUUAAAAGGUGCAAUUGCAUCACUACCAGAUGGACCUGCGUUGUAUUAGCUAGUUGGUGGGGUAACGGCUCACCAAGGCGACGAUACAUAGCCGACCUGAGAGGGUGAUCGGCCACACUGGGACUGAGACACGGCCCAGACUCCUACGGGAGGCAGCAGUAGGGAAUCUUCGGCAAUGGACGGAAGUCUGACCGAGCAACGCCGCGUGAGUGAAGAAGGUUUUCGGAUCGUAAAGCUCUGUUGUAAGAGAAGAACGAGUGUGAGAGUGGAAAGUUCACACUGUGACGGUAUCUUACCAGAAAGGGACGGCUAACUAUGUG